UGACGCGUGUGACUGGGUUAAUCCUGUGCAUAGCUUUUUUUAACUGGUUAAACAAUUUUGCACGUUUCUCUCCUCCACCGCUUUGACCGGGCCUUCUGGGCUAUUCGAUUUACUUGGUACAUGCCACGCGUAUCUUGUCUGCCGGCCGCUUCCCACCGCGUGUCCAGUUCUCUCUCGAGAGCUCGAUUCCAGAAAUUGCUACAUCACGGGUUGCCACUAUAUAAAGGGCACGCUUUCUUGCCUAGGUUCUCAUCUUGCCGCGUCGUUGGUCCGUCUCCCAAAUUCCGGAAGCGACGGAAGUGCUUUUGGAUCGUGCGUGCCUCUCAGACGGCCGGCGUGCGUGACGUGGCGGCAGCGAGGGCGGGUCUUUCUUGUGCGCGUGCGUGUGGUGGUGCAUGUGAGGGUUGGACUGCUGAGGCUGCAGCGACCUCGAGCACGACUACGCGACGCAAGAUUUAGUGGAGAAGGAGCUAGCCGUGGUCGGGCAGGUUCGGGGUGCAGGCGCAGCCGCGCAGGUGCUCCGGAAACCACGCGCGUGAUAGAAGCAGCACCUGUCUUGCCGAGCCAGUCGCAUAAUCUUGCAGUUGCAGGGCCGAGCUGCUCCCUGUCUUUGCAUUUCCUCCAGGACUUCAGGUGGUAGAAGCACUCGUCGGAAAGAGAAAAGAAAACUGCACAACCUGAUGGCUGCGUGAGACUUUGUCUACAAGGAAGAAGACACAAAUAUAGAAGUAUACAUGAUCCAGCCGACUACCUCACACGAGUACGCGACUUGCCACCUCUUUCAUGAUUCCAAAAUCCUGGAAAACCUUGUGAUUGUGAUAGUUUGAGGACAGUGGUCAACAACCACCAAGGCGAGGCCACAAAGGAUGUGCAAAAUCACUGUCAGCUAAGCUUGUGAUGCAUGCGACUUCUAGGAAUUGGGAUUGAUCCAUUCUUUGCUUCGUCUCUCUCUACAUUUUCCUCUCUUAAUUAAUUUUGCAAAUUUUUCU